rnacentral:rRNA from 1 species
AGUGAACGCUGGCGGUAGGCCUAACACAUGCAAGUCGAACGGCAGCACAGUAAGAGCUUGCUCUUACGGGUGGCGAGUGGCGGACGGGUGAGGAAUACAUCGGAAUCUACUUUUUCGUGGGGGAUAACGUAGGGAAACUUACGCUAAUACCGCAUACGACCUACGGGUGAAAGCAGGGGAUCUUCGGACCUUGCGCGAAUGUAUGAGCCGAUGUCGGAUUAGCUAGUUGGCGGGGUAAAGGCCCACCAAGGCGACGAUCCGUAGCUGGUCUGAGAGGAUGAUCAGCCACACUGGAACUGAGACACGGUCCAGACUCCUACGGGAGGCAGCAGUGGGGAAUAUUGGGCAAUGGGCGCAAGCCUGAUCCAGCCAUACCGCGUGGGUGAAGAAGGCCUUCGGGUUGUAAAGCCCUUUUGUUGGGAAAGAAAAGCAGCAGGUUUAAACCCCGCUGUUCUGACGGUACCCAAAGAAUAAGCACCGGCUAACUUCGUG